rnacentral:rRNA from 1 species
UAGGGAAUCUUCCGCAAUGGGCGAAAGCCUGACGGAGCAACGCCGCGUGAGUGAUGAAGGUCUUCGGAUCGUAAAACUCUGUUAUUAGGGAAGAACAAAUGUGUAAGUAACUAUGCACGUCUUGCCGGUACCUAAUCAGAAAGCCACGUCUAACUACGUGCCAGCAGCCGCGGUAAUACGUAGGUGGCAAGCGUUAUCCGGAAUUAUUGGGCGUAAAGCGCGCGUAGGCGGUUUUUUAAGUCUGAUGUGAAAGCCCACGGCUCAACCGUGGAGGGUCAUUGGAAACUGGAAAACUGGAAUGAAGAAGAGGAAAGUGGAAUUCCAUGUGUAGCGGUGAAAUGCGCAGAGAUAUGGAGGAACACCAGUGGCGAAGGCGACUUUCUGGUCUGUAACUGACGCUGAUGUGCGAAAGCGUGGGGAUCAAACAGG